UACAGAGGGUGCAAGCGUUGUUCGGAAUUAUUGGGCGUAAAGGGCGCGUAGGCGGUGCGGUAAGUCUGUAGUGAAAUCUCUGGGCUCAACUCAGAGUCUGCUGCAGAAACUGCCGUGCUUGAGUGUGGGAGAGGUGAGUGGAAUCCCGGUGUAGCGGUGAAAUGCGUAGAUAUCGGGAGGAACACCUGUGGCGAAGGCGGCCCCCCUGGUCGGGAUACUGGACGCUGAGACGCCGAAAGCGUGGGGAGCAAACAGGAUUGAGAAACCCGA
rnacentral:rRNA from 1 species